AUCAACAAAAGCUCUGAGUAAUAUUUAGAAUCAAAGUGUCUAGCUUUUGGAAGCUCUAAAAACGUGAAUUAAAGGGGAUGUUGGGUUCAGAAAAACAACAAUGAUUUCUUGUCUAUACAAUUCAACUAUGCAGAACAUGUUAUGCGUUCAGGUGGCUGUUUAAAUGAAGAAAUUAUGGAAUUGAUUUAUGAGCUUCAAGACUAACUACGGUAGUGAGAGAUUUGGGUUGAAACUUCAUCAUUAGAGCUUGGGUAAUUGUUCUACACAUCUACUUUGAUUUAUGUCUUGAAUUCUCAUGGAUUUACUACACCUAAAACACGGCUUUCAGAAGUGAAAUUUGGGAACUUUAAACGUAGAUCUAAAACAUGAAUUUUGGAAAUUUGAACAUCGAAGCGGGCUCGGAUUGAAAUUCUAACUGUAGAUAUGGACUCGUGUGCAUAUGGGAAUCGCGUUCAUGUAAUUAAUUUCGGGUUUCGGAUCGUCGACCCAAAGGGCGGGUUUGAGUUGAUCAAGGGUUGACUUUGACCCCGAUGCGUCCUAAAAUUAUAGGAUUAGUUUUCCUAGACUAAUUUGGAUCCGUUAUUCAUGAUUUUAAAUAGAUUGAGGCCAUUGGAGAUCGUUUGAGCGGAGAUUGGUGUAUCAAGAAAGGUUUGCCUACCGGUUAUAAGGCAAGUGAGACUUAAAUUUCUUGAAUACUUGCUUUUCGACAUCAUGAUUUACAAAUUGCAUUAUUUGAUUUUCAAAUUCCUUGUACGUUGUGGAACGAGCGCGUACUAGGUCAUGUAUAUUAUUUUAUGAUGAAUCUUGUGACUUUGAGCCGUUUCUUCAAUGAAACCAUUCCAAUUGUUUUCAACUUUGAUAUCGUGAACUCUAUGAUAUUCCAACAUGACUGUUGAAUGAUUUCCUAUAAAAUGAGAAUGGCAAAAUAGGGAUUUACUGUUAUAUCAUGCUAGGGAUAUCUGACAUACUUAUAUACAUUACUUGACUAGUCUUUCAUGACACUAGCUAAUGAUAUGAUUACUCGUACCAUAUAUUGUACAUAUUAGUUGGUAUUUGGCUGUUUGGUAUAGGGAACCUGAUUCCCGAGGGCUAUGGUUCAGGAUGAUUGGUCUAGGGAAUUUGACUCCCGAGGGCCUAUGGUUUCGGAUUUUGGUCUAGGGAACUUGACUCCCAAGGGCCUAUGAUUCAUGAUUUUGGUUUAGGGAACUUGACUCCCGAAGGCCUAUGGUUCAGGAUUUUGGUUUAGGAAACUUGUCUCCCGAGGGCUUAUGAUUUGACAUGGUGCGGUUGACCUGUAUCUAUGUGUUAUUUGUCUUACCUGUAGCUUGAGUAUACUAAUUAAGGUUAUAUAUGUAUACCGUUUGUUUCUUUCAUGCAUUUUAUUUUUAAGACUUGCUCAACAGGGUAUAGUUGCUGGGCGGGUCGAUGAUCUUGUUGGGAGUUAUGCUCACUAUUGUUGUUUUUUAUUUUGUUUGUACAAAUCCUAACUCUAGUGCUGUAGUGGUUCCUCUCUGAUCUCGUUCGAGGCACUACUAGUUUCAAUUGAGAUGAGCCAACCGCAUUCUGAUCGUGGUGGCACCUUUACUAUAAAUUUUACUUCUUCUCUCUUUUGAUUGUAUCGGGUUGUGUCCCUAGACUCUUGUAUUUGAAUUUGUAUUAGAUGCUCCUUGACUAUUUUGUGAGAGGUGGAUUUCAAUUCUUAGGUGUUUUCGGGCUUCUGGAUAUUUUCUUAUUAGUAUUGAUGGUUGUGGACACUUUAUGUUUGAUGGAUUGUCGUUUGGUUGAUUAGAGGGAUUAUUGACAUGCUUCUGUUUUAGGGGAAAUUCCGCCAAAUUUUUAAUGAUAUUUGGUAUUUGAUAGAUUAAUAUUUGUUUGCUUGGUAUGGGUAGUUGCUUGCUAUGUGCAAUCACGGCCUUUGAACUUGGGUCGUGACACCUAGUGAAAGUUCAUAGCACAAAGCAAUAAUGUAAUGAUCUUUGAGAAAGAGAUAUGAUGGUUGGAAUAGGUCCAUAGACAUGUUCCAUUACAUGUGAGCAGAGACAGAUGCAGGCACAUGAACACAGUUGGUACAAAUAUGUGAACUUAAGAUAGCAGAUCAGAGAUGGAAUGGUGAGUGCACAAGUGAAUGGAACUGCUUAAAAUACAUGUACCUGAUACACCCAAGCACAGUCGAAGAGGAGAGAAUGAAGUGGCCUGGUCACAGAACAAGGCAGCAAAGGGAGGGAAGAUCAGGAGAUAAGAUGACUCAAUGGAAAAAUUAGUUCAAUGAAGAGAUAGAAAGUGCACACAAGUGGUCUAUCAAGUGGAGGAAUGGCCACAGGUCAUUAGGCACAUUGGUUGAUUGACCCAGCAGUGAGAAGUGAUAAAGACUCAGAAGAAAAUAUUCAGAAGGAAGAAAUUGUUCACCUAAAGAGUUUACAGACAGAGCAUGUGAGUCAUGUUAACAAAAAAAUCAGGUCUGCAAACACGUUCCAACAUAGAGUAAGAACAAAAUCAAAAGUCAAAGAGUGAGUCAAGGUUGAAGACAUGAUUUAUUCCAGCAAUGAAUAAAGGCAUGAGAAACAGACAGACACAUAGCAGCACAUGAUCAAUGAAACAUGUCUAUUAACAUGCUCCAUCAUCCAUACCAAAAGCAGACUCAAGAAGAAGUCAGACGUAUGAACGUGAAAGGGAUGAUGAAACAGGUUUGAGGACAUGUCCUAUCUCAGAUAGUGCAGAGAUUCAGAGACAGAUGAACCAGGUGGAUGAAACAAGUUGGUGAACAUGUUCUAAGGCAAGUCCUACAACAACUAGGAUUUUCAGUUUAUGAAAAGAACUUGAUGGUCUGAUAAGUUUUAUGUGAUUUAGAAGUGAUCGAGAAGAAAUCAAUUGAAAACAAGUCAAAAAGAGGCCAAAUUGAAGAAAACAAGAAAAGUGGUUAAAUUUGCAAAAACUGCCAGAUUUGCAAUUUCGAAAAUCUGAAACUUUGGGGGCUGUUUUUGUCUUCUUUUUUUUUUUAGUUGGGAAAUUUGGGAAUUAUAAAAGUGAAGCUUGGGACAACAUAUUUUCAUCUUUGGCCAUUUCAUUCAAGUCUUGGAAAGCUAGGGUUCAUCAACCACACCAUUGGAGGAGAAGAUUGGAGCACUUUAAUGAUAAAUUUCUUAACCCUUUCUUCAAUUCCUUUCUUUGUAUUGUAUAUCUAAGUGUGUAGAAGUUUAUUCCAUCACUUUAAUCUUGUUUAUGAAAAUAUUCAUUUGCAAAGUUGGAUGAAA